rnacentral:rRNA from 1 species
AACGAACGCUGGCGGCAGGCUUAACACAUGCAAGUCGAACGCCCCGCAAGGGGAGUGGCAGACGGGUGAGUAACGCGUGGGAACGUACCUUUCAGUUCGGAAUAACUCAGGGAAACUUGUGCUAAUACCGGAUACGCCCGCAAGGGGAAAGAUUUAUCGCUGAAAGAUCGGCCCGCGUUGGAUUAGCUAGUUGGUGGGGUAAAGGCCUACCAAGGCGACGAUCCAUAGCUGGUCUGAGAGGAUGAUCAGCCACACUGGGACUGAGACACGGCCCAGACUCCUACGGGAGGCAGCAGUGGGGAAUCUUGCGCAAUGGGGGCAACCCUGACGCAGCCAUGCCGCGUGAAUGAUGAAGGCCUUAGGGUUGUAAAGUUCUUUUGCCCGUGACGAUGAUGACGGUAACGGGAGAAUAAGCUCCGGCUAACUUCGUG